AUUGAACGCUGGCGGCAGGCCUAACACAUGCAAGUCGAACGAGUAGCGGACGGGUGAGUAAUGCCUGGGAAACUGCCUUAUGGAGGGGGAUAACUACUGGAAACUGUAGCUAAUACCGCAUACCAUCAGAUGUGCCCAAAUGGGAUUAGCUAGUUGGUGGGGUAACGGCGAAACAAGGCGACGAUCCCUAGCUGGGCUGAGAGGAUGACAAGCCACACCGGAACUGAGACACGGCCCGGACUCCUACGGGAGGCAGCAGUGGGGAAUAUUGCACAAUGGGGGCAAGCCUGAUGCAGCCAUGCCGCGUGAAUGAAGAAGGCCUUCGGGUUGUAAAGGACUUUCGGUGAGGAGGCGUUACCCGCAGAAGAAGCACCGGCUAACUCCGUGCCAGCAGCCGCGGUAAUUC
rnacentral:rRNA from 1 species